GAUCGCAGCCUCGGCGCGGUGACCUCCAUUGAUCUGCCCGGUGUGCCAUCUUCGCCCCGGCAGUGGAUCAGCGCGAGCGCGGUGGCCGACGGGAAGCGGAGGCCGGUGUUCCAUGUUACGGGGCCGAAGCGGCGAUGGCGGCGAUCGGACGUGAGGAGAACGAACUCGAGGUGCACGGUGGCGAGCUCCGGCGCGGCGUCGACGAUGCCGUGGAGGUGUUUGACGCGAUACGUGCAGUGUCGCAGCCGUAGCGUCGUUAGCCUCGGGAAGGCGGCGGCGGCGGAGGCGGUGCACGGCGGCGGCGGCGGCGGCGAGAAGUUGUGGCACCUGCACGCGGAGGGUGUUCGACGGAAGGGAGGAGAACCUCAGGAUGUAGACGAAAACUUCGCCAUCGUCCAUCACGGCGACGUCGUGUUCGUCGGGCUGGCCACGGUGGACGGCGGCGACGCGGAGCUCCUCGACGCGGCGCGCCGCCGGGUGGGCGACCACGGCGUCGAGCACGUCGUGAUCUCCGGCUCUGAGCGAGUUGUACGCGGAGCACUCGUCGUCUCCCUCGACGUGCAAGGUGAGCCGCGUGACGGCACGGUCGGCGGCGGCGAGCGCCGCAUCGGCGGCACGGACGAAGGCGUCCCUGCCGUCGGGGACGCACGCGGCGAGGUUGACGGCGCCGGAGGAGCGCCAGAGCGCGCCGAACCGCCGCGACAGCAAGCUGGUGGACGCGGCCUCCUUGGCGGGCGCGAAAUGGAGGACGCGAACGAGGAGGUCGUCGGGGAGGGCGGACAGGCGGUCGUCUCCGGCCGCCAUCGGUCGUGGACCACGGUGGCGGCGGCGGCGGCGAGACGCGACGGUGAUGGGGGAGAUCGAUCUUGGUUCGGGCUAAGGUAUGGAUCGGAGUCGGUGGCGAGGCGGGCUUUGGACCGAAUCGGGCUUGGCCCAUCAGGCUAA
rnacentral:lncRNA from 1 species